CCUUUGGACAACCUGUGUCCUCCAUCUUCUCCUCCUCAUCCUCUUCCUCCUCCUCUCUAUACUGGUAGAUAUAUCUCUUCUGGUCCUCCAUUUCCGGUAGCUUGACUGGUUCUGCUGCCGUUUCAUUGACCAGUGCUGUUGUCCUCCAGGGUUGGUCCUGACUAGGGAAAGCUGCCCAGGACCUCAUGUCUCUGUUAGCCAGCAUAGGGAGCUCUUCUCUGGAGUUAGGGUCUUGGCUAAAGCCCUGGUCUUGGUUCUGGUGCUGGUUGUACCCCAGUAGGGUUUGGAGGGAUGAGGGGAGUGUGAAUUCAGCCACCAGAAGGUUAGGGGCAGAAGUUGUUAUCAGCUUUCUGUAGGGGGUAGCCUGGGGCUGGGCCUGGGGGGGUGAGAGGGGGUCUGUGGUCAGUCCUGGGGUGUUGCUACUUCCCCCCUCCUCCUCCUCUUGGUGUGGCUGGUACAUGAUGUCAGAGGAGAUACUCUGUCUGUAGCCAUUGCUAUGGUUCCAGAUGUCCUCCAGCUCCUCCUCUACCUCCUCAAACUGCUGGUGGUCUGGAUGGAUGGUGAGGUCGGGGUCGACCGGAUCAGAGUCGAGUUCUGUCUCUGUCUGGUGGUGUCUGUUUCUGGGUGUUGUUUUUGUCUCUGGGUGGGCAGGAGCUGGGGUUGCUGUGGGAUUUCCCCUGGGUGUGGACACAUCCUCCAUACGCCCCUCCUCCAGAGACACUAGCCUCCCCACCACAGUCCUCAUGGGCUGGGGCUCUUGGAGAACAUCAGGUGCAUUGAGCUUCAAGCUCCCAGAGUUGGUGACACCAGAGAUGCCAGAGUCCAUUGAGUCUUGCAUCAUACUCCCUAACCCACUGACCUUCAGAUUCACAACCAUCUGAGAAGCCUGGCUGGUCUCCUGGAGGUCAACACUCUCUCUAUGGGUCUUCAACCUAUGAUGGUACUGGUGUCCAUUGAGGUCCUGAAUGAGGCACUCGUGGUUCUGAUAGGCUGAGGAUGGACAGGGGUCCUUGUGCUCAUGGUUCUGAUAGGCUGAGGAGGGACAGUGGUCCUUGCUCUCAUGGUUCUGAUAGGCUGAGGAUGGACAGGGGUCCUUGCGCUCAUGGUUCUGAUAGGCUGAGGAGGGACAGGGGUCCUUGCUCUCAUGGUUCUGAUAGGCUGAGGAGGGACAGGGGUCCUUGCUCUCAUGGUUCUGAUAGGCUGAGGAGGGACAGGGGUCCUUGCUCUUUACAAUGGGACUUCUACUAACCAUGGUCAUUUCCAUGUAAUUGUAAUGGUCUCGGUUCAUUGGAGUGGGACUCUUUGGGCAAUAAGCUGUGAUUGGUGGUUGCUUGCUGAAGAUGAGCUCCGACCACUCCUGCUCAGGCUCCUGGAGUACGGUCUGGAUCUGUGUUAGGGAUAGGUCAUUGCUUGAUACGUUCUGAUCCCAGUCCUCAUCCAGGGCAGGAGGAGGAGGAGGAGGAAAAUCUGUAUCUAGAUUAGACAGAGGCUCCAGCUGAAUAGCCUGUGUCAGUGGCUUUGUCUGUUUUAGUAUUUGUGUCGGUGUCUGUCUCAGUAGUGGCUGUGUCUGUGUCAGUAAUGGUUGUGUCUGUGUCUGUAUCUUUGUCAGUAGUGGUUGUGUCUGUGUCGGUAGUGGUUGUGUCUGUGUCAGUAGUGGCUGUGUCAGUGUCAGUAGUGGCUGUGUCUGAAUCUGUGUCAUUGUUUCAUAUCUGUAAGUAGUGACGGCCUCAUUAUCUGGUGCUCUGUGCGUGUCUGAGGGAGGGGAGCGGGUAUGUUUGAAAGAGCUGAGGGCUGCAUGUGUCUCUGUGUGAGGGUUGGGAUUGAGGUUUGGGUUGGAGGUUCCCCUGUGUUCUGGGAGUCCUAUAGUGAUGACAUCCUGUAUACUGGGGAUCAACCUCAUGUCUUUGGAGAGGUCGAAGGUCAAAACAGACCCCAGAGACAGGAACCUGCAGUGGCUCCUCACCUGGCCCCUGGGUGGAGCUAUAGAGACUGCCUCUGUCACUGCAUAGGGGCUGACAGUGGACACCCCAGAACAUUCAUCUUCAAUAUCCCUGGCCAAUGGGUUAUCCAUGUAGUCCACGAGUUCCACCCCCUGCCCUGGGCCCACCCCGUCGGCCUUUAAUAGGCUCUUCUUCUUCCUCCGGCCCUCCUUCAUUGGCCAGGUCUGGGUGUCGUACAGCGUGAUUUGCUGGGGUGCAGCUUCAGCAGGACAUGCCACCUCUGUCUGCUCCUCCCCCUCUACAACCAUGAUUUUCUGAAUGGUGUGGCGGCCAGCGUCUCUCUUCCUUCUCCUCUUCUUGCUCCUUAUCUUUAGACUAGAAAAGAUGGAGGUGUUCUUGGGCAGGGAGGAGGGGAAAGAGACGCAAGAUUGAGGAGCCCUGGAGGAGGAGGGGGAUGAAGAGGAGGAGGUCUUGGUGUGGAGGCGGGGCAGUAACAUACUCUCGUAUGCAGGAGCUGAUGUCAUGUUGUUGUCCUUUAAAUAGAGGAGGACAGAACACAGGUUUAGACAGGAGAGGAGGAGAUAUGAGUAGAGACAGGGGUAGAGAGGGAAGGGAGAGGAGAGGAGUGGAGAGAGGAUAUUAGACAGGAAAAGAGAGAGGAGAGGAGACAGUGAUAGAGAGGAGAGGAGACAGGGAUAGAGAGGAGAGGAGACAGGGUUAGAGAGGGAGAGGAGAGGAGACAGGGUUAGAGAGGGAGAGGAGAAGAGACAGGGAUAGAGAGGGAGAGGAGAGGAGACAGGGAUAGAGAGGAAGAGGAGAAGAGACAGGGAUAGAGAGGGAGAGGAGAGGAGACAGGGAUAGAGAGGGAGAGGAGAGGAGACAGGGUUAGAGAGUGAGAGGAGAGGAGACAGGGUUAGAGAGGAGGAGAGGAGACAGGGUUAGAGAGGGAGAGGAGAGGAGACAGGGUUAGAGAGGAGAGGAGACAGGGUUAGAGAGGAGAGGAGACAGGGAUAGAGAGGAGAGGGGACAGGGAUAGAGAGGAGAGGAGACAGGGAUAGAGAGGAGAGGAGACAGGGAUAGAGAGGAGAGGAGACAGGGUUAGAGAGGGAGAGGAGACAGGGUUAGAGAGGGAGAGGAGACAGGGUUAGAGAGGGAGAGGAGAAGAGACAGGGAUAGAGAGGGAGAGGAGAGGAGACAGGGAUAGAGGAAGAGGAGAAGAGACAGGGUUAGAGAGGGAGAGGAGACAGGGAUAGAGAGGGAGGAGAGGAGAGGGUUAGACAGGGAUAGAGAGGGAGAGGAGAGGAGACAGGGAUAGAGAGGGAGAGGAGAAGGGACAGGGAUAGAGAGGGAGAGGAGAGGGAGACAGGGAUAGAGGAAGAGGAGAAGAGACAGGGUUAGAGAGGGAGAGGAGACAGGGAUAGAGAGGGAGGGAG
ensembl:lncRNA